UAAGUUUCAAUUUUUUCAUGUGUAAAAAGGGCAUAAUUUACAUAAAGCAUCUAGAAUAGUCCUGGGUACAUAAUAGGUACUCAGUAAAUGGAAGCCAUUUUUAUUUUAUCCCAAAUUUCAGGUUGUUAGUGUCAACAAAUAAAUGAACUUUACUAUGAUGAGCUAUUGAAAUUUUACAGUUUAUCUGCCGACGGCUUAGCCCAACCUAUACUGACCAACACAAAUGGCUUAGAUAUGGCCUUGUCAUGUUCACCCAUCUAAGGCAACCAGUUGAGAUCUGCUUACUCAGUUCAUUUUAUUUGUUUCUCUUUUAAAUUCCAAGUCUUUAAUGUGACCUUUGGAGGAUUCUAGUUGGCAAAAGGUCCAAGUUUUCCCACAGGCUGACUGUCUGCUGUGCUUGGGCCCAGUUCCUACAUAUGGACUGGGACAAUAAUACUUGAAACUGAUCCUUCAAGGAGGCCCUCUCUUUCCCUCCCCCUUUUCCUCAGCUCUCUGUAAAGCAUCAAGAAUAAACAAGAGCACAUGUGGCAGGAGCAUUCCUCUCUCUAUGGCUGUGUUCCAACAGAUGGGACACAAGAGAUUGGGGAAGAGAGGCAUCUAGAGGUAUCUACAGCCACCAGCCCUCUAGGGACAAAGCGAGAACCUCAGACUCAAGUCUCCAACAUUCCAGUCUGUGCCUUCUUCAUGUUCCUGGGCAGCUUUGUUCAAGCAUCUAUAAUGGCUUCCUAUUUCUAACUGUACCAAAUUAA